GUCGUAACAAGGUCUCCGUAGGUGAACCUGCGGAGGGAUCAUUACACAAAUAUGAAGGCGGGCUGGAACCUCUCGGGGUUACAGCCUUGCUGAAUUAUUCACCCUUGUCUUUUGCGUACUUCUUGUUUCCUUGGUGGGUUCGCCCACCACUAGGACAAACAUAAACCUUUUGUAAUUGCAAUCAGCGUCAGUAACAAAUUAAUAAUUACAACUUUCAACAACGGAUCUCUUGGUUCUGGCAUCGAUGAAGAACGCAGCGAAAUGCGAUAAGUAGUGUGAAUUGCAGAAUUCAGUGAAUCAUCGAAUCUUUGAACGCACAUUGCGCCCUUUGGUAUUCCAAAGGGCAUGCCUGUUCGAGCGUCAUUUGUACCCUCAAGCUUUGCUUGGUGUUGGGCGUCUUGUCUCUAGCCUUGCUGGAGACUCGCCUUAAAGUAAUUGGCAGCCGGCCUACUGGUUUCGGAGCGCAGCACAAGUCGCACUCUCUAUCAGCAAAGGUCUAGCAUCCAUUAAGCCUUUUUUUCAACUUUUGACCUCGGAUCAGGUAGGGAUACCCGCUGAACUUAAGCAUAUCA
rnacentral:rRNA from 1 species